AUUGAACGCUGGCGGCAUGCCUUACACAUGCAAGUCGAACGGUAACAGGUCUUCGGAUGCUGACGAGUGGCGAACGGGUGAGUAAUACAUCGGAACGUGCCCGAGAGUGGGGGAUAACGAGGCGAAAGCUUUGCUAAUACCGCAUACGAUCUCAGGAUGAAAGCAGGGGACCGCAAGGCCUUGCGCUCACGGAGCGGCCGAUGGCAGAUUAGGUAGUUGGUGGGAUAAAAGCUUACCAAGCCGGCGAUCUGUAGCUGGUCUGAGAGGACGACCAGCCACACUGGGACUGAGACACGGCCCAGACUCCGACGGGAGGCAGCAGUGGGGAAUUUUGGACAAUGGGCGCAAGCCUGAUCCAGCCAUGCCGCGUGCAGGAUGAAGGCCUUCGGGUUGUAAACUGCUUUUGUACGGAACGAAAAGACUCUGGUUAAUACCUGGGGUCCAUGACGGUACCGUAAGAAUAAGCACCGGCUAACUACGUGCCAGCAGCCGCCGUAACAC
rnacentral:rRNA from 1 species